AGAACGAUUACCACUUUGUGUUUCAUGACUGGGGUGAAGUCGUAACAAGGUAACCCUAGGGGAACCUGGGGUUGGAUCACCUCCUUACUAUUACGUCGAUGACGCACUUGAUGCAGUGCCUACACAGAUUGUUUUGUUUAUUUAUAAAGACUCGCUUCGCGAGUGUCGCGAAUAGCUGCUUAAACGGAAGAAAACUUCCUGACAGCCAUUCUGCUCGCUAAAGUGGUAGUUGUUUUUAAAUAGAAUGCUAAUCAAUAAUCUUAUUAUUGAUUAGUGUUUUUUUAUAAUGCACUAAUGUUCUUUAACAAUUUGGAAAGCUGAUAUUAAUAGUAAUCAAUCAAAAGAGUAAUUGAGAAGUCGAAAGACGCACUUUUUACUCUACUUGACUUGAAUUGCUUGUUAUCGACAACGCCGCAAGGCGGGUUAAUCGACUUGUUCGGUUAACAAAGA
rnacentral:misc_RNA from 1 species